UACCGAAUUCCUUUUGGGGUGAGGCUUUGUUGACCGACGAACAUGUUAUUAAUCUAUCCCUUGCGGUUGCUUUGCAAAGUGAUGUCCCAAACAGAGUUUGGUAUGGAAAAAAUAUUUCCUAUGACCACUUGAAAGUGUUUGGUUGCAAAGUUUUGUACAUAUGCCUAAAAAUGAGAGGCCAAAUUAACUGCCAAGACAAAGAAGUGCAUCUUCAUUAGUUAUGGCCUUGAUGAGUUUGGUUACAGGAUACAUGAUCCAAUUGAGAAGAAGGUCUUGAGAGGUCGUGAUAUUAUAGUUUUGGAGGAUCAAACCAUUGAAGAUAUUAACAAAGCAAAGAAGCUAAAAUAUCCAAGUUCGUAAGGUUUAAUUAAUCUUAAUCAAGUUCCUCAAACAAAUGCGGAUGCCGUUGGUGGGCUCAAUGAUGAUGGUGAUUCCUAGAACCAUAUGCCAGAUCAGCAUAUUGAUAGUGAUGGUGAUAAUAAUGCUAAUGCUGAUGAGCAGAUGCUCCAACUCAUGAAGUUGUGGACGAGUUAGAUAUUCCACUCAAGAGGUCUUCUAGACCACGUACUCCUUCCUCCCGUUAUUCACCCAAUGAGUAUGCAUUACUCACUGAUGGGGAGAACCUCAGUGUUAUGUGAAGGCUAUAUAAGAUGAGCAAAAGGAUCAAAUGAUUGAAGCCAUGCAAGAUGAGAUGAAAUCUCUGCAUGAGAACCAUACUUACGAGUUGGUGAAAUUUCCUAAGGGCAUGAUAGCUUUGAAGAACAAGUGGGUGUUCAAAGUUAAAGCUGAAGAACACUGUUUACAGCCCAGAUUCAAAGCUAGACUGGUUAUCAAUGGAUUUGAUCAAAGGAAAGGUAUUGACUUUGACGAAAUAUUUUCUCCUAUCGUGAAAAUAUCCCCCAUUCAAAUAGUUCUUAGUUCGACUGCUAGUCUUGAUUUGGAAAUUCAGUCGAUGGAUGUAAAGCCUAUUUUUCUUCAUGAUAACUUAGAAGAAGAGAUUUAUAUGAAAUUACCUGAGGGCUUCAAGUCAAAAGGAAUGCUUCCAAGAUUGAUAAGUUGAAGAAACAGUUGAAUAAGUAUUUUGCAAUAAAAGACUUGGGACAUGCUAAGCAGAUUUUGGGCAUGAGAAUUACUCAUUGGAGAAACGAAAUGAAGAACUUGUCAAGGGAGAAGUACAUAGGACGCUUACUGGAGUGCUUCAAUAUGAAUAGAAAGUUUGCUGGAGUGCUUCAAUAUGAAGAGUGCUAAGUUGGUUCGCACAUCCCUUCCUGGUCAUCUGAAGUUGAGCAAGAAGAUGUGUCAUACAACAAUGGAGGAACAAGAGAGAAUGGCAAAGAUUUUUUACUCAUCUGCCACCGGGAGUUUGAUGUAUGCAAUGAUAUGCAUUUGACCAGAUAUUGCUCAUGCAGUCGGUGUUGUUAGUAGAUUUCUUGAAAAUCCUGGAAAGGAACAUUCAGAAGCAGUCAAGUGGAUACUCAGGUACCUAAGAGAUACUAUAUGAGAUUGCUUGUGUUUUGGAGGAUCUGAUCCAAUCUUGAAGGGAUAUACAGACGUUGAUAUGGAAAGACAUUAAUAACAGAAAAUCCACCAAUGAAUAUUUGUUUACUUUUUCAGGAUGAGCUAUAUCAUGGCAGUCUAAGUUACAAAAGUGUAUUGCACUUUCAACAACUGAAGUAGAGUACGUUGCCGCUACAGAAGCUGGAAAGUAGGAGAUAUAGCUCAAGCGAUUUCUUCAACAGCUGAAAUUACAUCAAAAGGAGUAUGUCAUCCAUUGUGAUAGUAAAAAUGCAAUAGACUUUAACAAGAACCCCAUGUACUAUGAAGAAUAAAGAAUAUAGAUGUGAGAUAACAUUGGAUUUGUGAAAACGUGGAGAACGAAUCUUUACGGGUCAAAAAGAUUCACACGAGUAAAAAUCAUGCGGAUAUGCUAUCCAAGGUAGUAACAAGAGACAAGUUCGAGCUUUGCAAAGAACUUGUCGGCAUGCGCUCAAAUUAGAACCUCUGGUGUUACCUCCUUCAAGUGAACUAAAUUGGACGGGAGAUCUGUAGAGUCCAUAUCAUAAAUUAAGAAAAACUUUCUUCCUUUGUUGGUCUUCUAAAUUGGCAGCCACUCUUUUCUUUUGCACCGUCAAAUAAGGUACGCCGCACAAGAGCAAAUGUCAAGAUUAGUAGGCAUAGCAAAUCUGCAUGAGAGAAAAAUGAAAAAUGUAGUAGGCGUGAGAGAGUGAGGUUCUACCUAUAGAAGGAGAGCUUCGGCUCUCAUUACUUACAUAUCAAAAAUCUCAGACAAUACAUCUGAGUAAGAGAGAAAGAGAGCAAGGUAUCUCAUAUACUAUAAGAAAUUAGUUUGUGAAGAUAAAUACUGUGGGAGAGAUAUUGUAGUGAGGUAAAAAAAAAGUAAAAGAGUAUUUUUUCUUUUGAAAGUGCAUUAGUCUUAGGAGUAUUUGUACUCGUUACUAUACCGUGUAAAAUUUCUCGCUAUAGUGAUAUUAGUUGCUCUUCUUGGCCUUGAUUUUUCCCUUAUUCAAAAGGAUUUUCACGUAAAAUCAUGGUGUCAUUAUUGAUGCAUUUCUAUUUUUUUAUCUAACCAUAACUUAGUGUUCCGCGUUUAUUACUAAUACCUGUCACACCCCUUUUUCUCAUCCCCAGAAAGAAUAUCAAGUGUUAUUAUGUUAUAGAUUGUUGUGGAUUAAAGAGUUUUUCCAAUUAAAGGGAUAAUUUUGAAAUAGAGAUUAUUUUAUUGUUCACAGUCGCCACAUGGAAUUGAGUUUUUAUUUUUUGCCGCCCUUUUUAUUUUUUGGCACUCUCUUUUUCUCUUUUUGUUUGUCAAUCUUUUACUUUUUGUCGCUUUUUUUCCUUUUUUUCGCUCUAUUUUUUUUAAAAAAAAAUAUGAUAGAAUCCGAUGGGGAUUUCCUACGUAUCAUGACGCCACAUGAAUUAGAUCUUGUGUAGUUCAGGAAGAUUGAGAAUAGAGUAAAUAAGCUAACUCUUUUUUACCUUUUUAUAAAACUCAGACCAUGAAAGUUUUAACACCAAAGAAAAAUAUUUUUUGAUAUUUGCUUUUUUUUUAUUCUUUUGGAAUUUUCGGAAAAAAUGCUCUAAAAUAAGAAAGGAAAUAUUUUUUUUUUUGGAUUUCUUUUAUUUUAUUUUUGAAAGAAAUACUUCUAAAAAUUCAUUUGCUUUUGAUUUGAACUUUGGAAAUUUUAAAAGCAAAAAAGAAAGUAUUUAUUUUUUGUCUGAAUUUUUCAUUUAAAUCUCUUUUUCUAAAGUAUAAAGAAAAUAUUUUUGAAUUAUGGAUGUUGUCUUUUAAUUUCAAAAGAUGGACUUAAGAAAAUGUCUUGGACUUUUGGGUUUUUAUUUAUUUACGAAGCACUUCUAACGAAAAACGAAAAUACUUUUUGGACUUUAAUUUUUCAAAUUUCUUUUAUUGACAUUUGUGAAAGAAAGAUACUAAGGAGUAUUUUUUUGAAUUUUUGUUUCUGGUUUUUCUUUUUUGAAAAAAUACUUCAAAAUAAAGGAAACCUAUAUUUUGGGUUUUGAGUUUUAUUGAUUUUUUUUUUAUGAAAGACAUUAGAAAGAAUGAAAUUAUUUUUGAGUUUUAAAAAAUAAACUUCUUUUUUUUCUUCUUUUUUUUUUGAAUUUUCUAAGAAAAUAUUUCUAAAAAGGAACUAAUGGAAAAUAUUUUGGUAUUUUUGAAAAUUGGGAUGGGAACCGAUGAGUUUUGUGUAUCUUAUAUUCGGUGAGAAUAUUCGCGUAGUUCGGUAAAACAUGGUACUUUUUACGUUUUUUUUAAUAAAAAUUAAUCUUUACAACUCACACCAGACUACUACAAAAUAUAUAUUUUUUUAUUUUGAAAAGAGAUUUAUUUGCACUAAUCUUGGAGAAUUAAUCUUUUUUUAUUUUUAAUAAUUACACUAAUUUUUUAAUAAACAUAAAAAAAUAAAAGUCGAUUGAAAAUGCAAGUAAUGAUGUACCAAGUAGCACAUAUGUGAACAUGAUGGUCUCAAAGAGGAUACUUGUCUUAUACAGGCCUGACCCUUGUGCCGAGCUUCGCUAAGUGCAAAUAAAGCUAACCUACUAGGGAUGUCCAACAUGAGAUUUGUUCUUCUAGGUUGGAAUCAUGGUGGUGAAGGUAUCUCGACUGCUUACUCGAGCAGAUAACUCGAGUCGAGGAGGGUCAGUGUACUGGUAGCAUUGUUUUUCGGCUUAACUGGUGGUGCUCCCCGCCUAAAAUAUGUGUGACUAAAAUUCUUCACCGGGUGACAAGCACCUCGGCUAUCUCAAAGAAAGCGCGAUAUGUUAAGCAAAUGCCGAAUUUUUAUUUCAAGAAGACUCAGAGGGGGUGCGUGAGAAAACAGUUUAUACAUACAGUUUAACAAUAUCAAAACGGUAAAAAUCAAACAGGUAGCACAUUACACAAAUAGAUCACAAUAUAUACAAAAUUAAUAAAGCCAAAUAAAAGUCAACAUGUACAAGCUCGAAUUCUAGCGAUCCCCAGUAGAGUCGCCAGAGCUCUUACAUCCCCUUUUACCUACCCCCAAAAAGAAUAUCAUGUGUUAGUAUGUUAUGGAUUGUUGUGGGUUUAAGAAUUUUUUCCAAUUAAAGUGACAAUGUUGAAAUAUGGAUUAUUUUAUUGUUACUUAGAAUUGAUUUUUUGGGUAUUCCAAAUUAUUUUUUAUUUGAAUUCCUUAUUCAAAGGAAAAUUUGACUUUUUUAUUAUUGGUUUGCAAAAAUAAAAUUCGAAUAAGAAAUUUUAUUGAUGGGGGGAAAGAAGGUUGUCUAGAUGAAGCAUAUGAAGAUUAAAAAGAAAAAUUUCAGAUCUUACUUGUCAAAAGUUCCAAGUGGAGAAUAAGAAAAAUUCUUAAAAACUGACAGGAGGAAUGGACACUCAUAUGGUGGCAAAUGGAAUAAAAUUUAUAAAUAAGCCACUUUUCGGUCCUCUAAUUGAAAAAUAACCAUUUUCAUGUUGUGAAAUUUGAAAUUCUAUAGAAGUUACUAGUAUUUUGAGUUACAGGGCUGCAAAGUGGCUAGCCACCACUAUUACUACUAUUAGCAAAUAAAUGGGCGGUUUUAAAAGAAGAGUUAACUCAAAUAGUUGUUUACUCUACCAUUUAAAUUGAAAAUAUCUGACAAAUAUAUAUAUAUANNNNNNNNNNNNNNNNNNNNNNNNNNNNNNNNNNNNNNNNNNNNNNNNNNNNNNNNNNNNNNNNNNNNNNNNNNNNNNNNNNNNNNNNNNNNNNNNNNNNNNNNNNNNNNNNNNNNNNNNNNNNNNNNNNNNNNNNNNNNNNNNNNNNNNNNNNNNNNNNNNNNNNNNNNNNNNNNNNNNNNNNNNNNNNNNNNNNNNNNNNNNNNNNNNNNNNNNNNNNNNNNNNNNNNNNNNNNNNNNNNNNNNNNNNNNNNNNNNNNNNNNNNNNNNNNNNNNNNNNNNNNNNNNNNNNNNNNNNNNNNNNNNNNNNNNNNNNNNNNNNNNNNNNNNNNNNNNNNNNNNNNNNNNNNNNNNNNNNNNNNNNNNNNNNNNNNNNNNNNNNNNNNNNNNNNNNNNNNNNNNNNNNNNNNNNNNNNNNNNNNNNNNNNNNNNNNNNNNNNNNNNNNNNNNNNNNNNNNNNNNNNNNNNNNNNNNNNNNNNNNUAUAUAUAUAUAUAUAUAUAUAUAUAUAUAUGUAUGCAUAUUUUAUAUAUUAUGCUUGUAUAAUAUUUGAAUCAAUGUAUUAUCUAUGUAUAUAACUAAAAAAAGUAAAUAAUUAAUACGGCUUUUUAUAUAAAAAUCCCUUAUUUAAAUUUAUUUGGGCUAAAUGAGCAGGUACAGAUGGAUUAAACUAUGGAUCACAGCCCAGUCUUCCCAAAUUGAUCAACCUGCAAAGUAGUAUAUAGGGAUAGAAGGUCAAGUUUGGGAAUAUAAUGCUCAUGAGUUGAAUUUGGGCUGCUACUUUAAUGGGCUUUCUUGUAAAAAUAGCACGGGCUAAUCAGUUUUCGAACUAGUCAUUUAAAAAUAUUCAGUGUUUACAAAGUCAUUAAAAAUAGCUAUUAUUUUGCUGCAACACGAAAAUUUCAGCAUAAUAUACUGGAGAUCGUGCACCGAUGUAUGAAAUUCUAGCAUAUUAUGUUGGAACUCCAACACUCGGAGAGUUCUAGUAUAAUAUACAGGAGAUUGGAGCAUCUCCAGUAUAUUAUGCUGGACCAGUAUAUUAUACUGGAACUCUAGUAUACUGGAGUAUUUUUCGGAUUUUGAAUAGUAUUUUCAUUAAGAUUUAUCUUUACAUGAAAAUUGGCUAAAUUUCAAUUACUUUUGAAAUUGAGGCUAUUUUUGAAUGACCACUUGUAAAUCUGGCUAUUUUUGAAUUUAUCCCACUUUCCUUAGCCAAUACGCUCGUUAACCUAUAAUUGAAUCAUUUUUUGAUAAUUAAUGAUUAACUUAAUUUACAGUUGUUAAUUGAAAAUUAAUCAUCGUGUCAAAAUUAAUCAAAAAUUAGCUAUAUGAGGAUAGAAGAUCUAAACAAAAAUGCCCUUAUUAAUGUGGUGGAGUUUGAUUAUUUUUUUUUUUUACAUAUGAAUUUGAAAUUCAUAAUGUAAUGUACUGGACUUUAUAUGCAGGAGUAGGACUCAACACACAUCAUUCAAUUUGGCAUAACACCCUGCAAAAAAUGCAUUUUGUUCAAAAAAGAAUAGAACUGACUAGAUAGUUAUCUCAGAAAGUGGCAGUGCGGCUGUAGAAUUAUGAUAUGACAUGUACUACAUUAUUAAACUUUAAAUAAUAAUGCAGGUUUAUUUAAAAAUCUACAAAUCUACAAACUGAUGCUACGCCGAGACUUAAAUGAAUAGCCAUCGCUCAAGAUGCUUCACCAACUUGUUGGCGCAGGUUUCAUAUUAAGACAUUCCAUCACAUCAAUAAGAGUAAAUAGCAUCUGUAAUUUGCCAACUGAUGAUAUUAUUCCAAAUAUUCCUACUACUUGGAACUCAACACAGAAUUUUUCCUCGUUCUUUCUUGUAGUUCCAAUUGCUUAGCGUAUAUCAUACUGCGAAUUUUAUACCAAAAUAUCGAAAAGAAGUACUACUACUACAACAACAACAACAACCCAGUAUAAUCCCACAUAUUGGGGUCUGGGGAGGGUAGUAUGUACGCAGACCUUACCUCUUCCCUGGGGUAGAGAGGUUAUUUUCAAAUAAGCCCCCGGCAUCCUUCCCUCCAAGAACUUCCCACCUUGCUGGUGGGGAGACUCAAACUCACAACCUCUUGGUUGGAAGUGGGGCUUGCUUACCAUCGAAAAGAAGUACUACGUACAUAUAGAAAUUUGUUAGCAUUGGUCCUUAAAAAAUGAAAUAAAUUAGAUGCCUUGUCUAAGCAUCUGAUGCAGCAUCUUUCAAAUUGGGCUUCUGCGUCUGAUAUAUUAUUAUUCCCAUUUCACAGGAUGACAUGAUCUUACCAGUUCCAACAAAGCUAUAAAUAUAAGUGGUUUGACGCAACUCAGAGCCAUUAGUAUAAAAUCUUAGUUGUUCUUAACUUUAGUGCAAGGAGAGAAUUAAUACAGAGAAAAAUGGCAUCACUCAAAGCUGAGAAACCUGUUGGAACUCAACCAUCUGCGCCAACAAAGAAAGCAUCUGCUAAGGCUCCUCAUGCAUCCAAAUCGGCUCAGAAAAAGCCUCGUGAGCCUAAGAAGAAGGUCAAUUAACAUCGCCCUCCUGUCCAUAUUAUCUGAAUUUUAUCUGUCUAAAUUACGCGUUAUCUCUUCUUAAACGUCUCAAUUGAUACUCUACUAAUAUUGGAACACUAAGAAAGAUCUGGAAACAAGAAAAUAAUAGAUGACCUAUGUUUUUCUAAAACGUUAACUAUUCCGAAACAAAUCCAGUAUUCAAGAUGACUAGUAAUAUUUGUUAACAAAGGUAGUAUCUAAUUUUUUUUCUAUAUAUUUUUUAUUUGUGCAUGUCCUUGGAUAGUAUCUUCUCUAUAGCGCUCCAAUUCUAUCAGAUGUCGACAAUAUAUAUUUUUGUUUAUUGUUUCCUGCAUAUAAUCUGAUUUAAAUAUGAUUAAUCUUCUUUUUAGGCAUCAGGUAGCAAGCCAGCUCCAAGAAAAUAAGAAGGACGAGUAAUUACAAGAGUAUGAUGAAGAAUAUGGCAUGCAGAACUACUAAUCAUGAAAUGCAUGCCUGCUGUUUAAACUUAUGAGUGAUAUAGUUGUUAAGGCACUGGCUUGUAUAUUUUCUUCUCUUUGGUUUCCUAUUAAUGGAAUAAUCUCAUACUCGUAUUUGUAUUCUUUCCUUUGCCUACUCAUAAAUACUCUCUCCAUUUCAAUUUAUGUGACAUACUUUUCUUAUUAGUCUGUUUCAAACAGAACUCGAAACAAUUAAUCAAAUCAUCAAGUCUAACUGAUCAAAACAUCAUAAAUAAUAACUAAUACCAGCUAGCUCUUGUUCUUCUCAUUUGCAUGUUACAAUGAUCUAAGAGAAAAGGAACGAUUCAUCUAAAAGAAUAGCGAUAGCUAAAAAGGGCUCACAUGACGAGCUAACUUCAGCAUGAAUUCAGGAACAAGGCGUUUUCUUGAAGGUGCAUAUGCUUUAAUGGUUUCAGAGUCUUCGUCAUGAAUCAUCAAAGUUAAAUCUUCUAACAUAUCAUCUAUGCCGCCUCUCAUUGGAUCCUACAGAAGAAAAAGUCGUAAUAAGAAAAAGAUUAAACAUGUGAAGGGGAAAGAUUAACUGCUGCAACUAUUGACUACAGCACCAUAGGCAAAUGCAUUUAUCACACAAUUCAGGUGAAACUAUAAAAAUACUUGGCAAUGACCACAAACAAAGCAAAGAUAGCAUCUAAUUUAAGGGCAUUUAUCGGUCCAGAGCACGUGCAUGAAAUUUCCUCUGGAAAGAAACAAAGAGAGGCAUUGAUAAAAAUAAGCCAAUAAUUACCUGAAGAAACAAAUCUGUAUGUGUCUUUCCUUCUAAUAAGAUGCAUUCAGCUUCGAUACCCAGAGCUCUUAGAGUGUCGACAAAACUUUGGCUGGAAUAAGAAAAACUAGUAAGCAAUCUGCAUAAUCUUCAUUUUAGACUAUAUGAAAACAAUAACUAUACUAUCUGCUGAGGAUAUCUGAAAAUAAUUAGUACACAAAAUUACAGAAAAGAAGCCCUGAUCCGUUCCUGCUAGCACCCUCAGCAAAUAUGUUACAAAUACUGUAUUCACACUUUUGGCAACGGUUUCAUCAGCAUAAAGAAUUAAGACUUCAUUUGUAAAUUUCAGGUAUGUUAAUAAGUAAAAGAUAAGCUGGAGAUAAACAAUCCAAUCGCUAUUAAGUAUAGUAUAAUACAAUGGAAACUGCAGCAGCUGUGAUGUUAACAAUAAUUAAAAGUAAAAAGUUGCAUAAAGUGUAGGUUCAAACCUGGAGCCACAAGGAAUGGAAUAAUCUGCAGUUCCAUGAAAAAGGAUAAUAGGAGGAAUGAGAGGAACUGCAUUCCUAAUGUUUGGAUCUUGUACCAUUAUUUCAGGUGAAUAUCGUCCCAGACCUUGAUGCCCUUCCAUUAUGCUGUAUACGUGCCAAGAAAAUGCAUCAUCAAAGCCAUAAAAUGUUGAAUGGAAGAAAUAUAUGUAAUACCAGAAGACGCGAAUACAUACCUUAGAAAAAUUGAACGGUAUAGACCUCGACAAUGGAUGUGAUCCACUAGGUUAAACAGAUUAUACCUGUCCACAAGUGUUGAAAAACAAAAAUCUUAGUAGUUCUAUGAACUUCAUCAAAAAAAUUAAGAAAAUGACCUGAAGAAAGAAGUGUUCCAGACUAAGGCUUUGUAGUAAUGGGAACUAGAACAAGAACUCACCCACCGGAUAAACCAAAAUAAGCCUUUAUUUGAGAGACACUCCAAGAAUCUCUCUCUUUCUCGGAAGCUUCCUUGAUUGCCUGCUCCAAAAGAACACAAGCAGCAAUAUGUGCACCAGCUGAUUGUCCCAUUAAGUAAAUUCUACAAGUAGAUCACGAAAAACUAAAACGUUGAAUGAAAGUAAAUAAUUCAUGAGAAAAUGAA
rnacentral:lncRNA from 1 species